AGUUGCGAUCAUACCAGCACUAAUGCACCAGAUCCCAUCAGAACUCCGUAGUUAAGCGUGCUUGGGCGAGAGUAGUACUAGGAUGGGUGACCCCCUGGGAAGUCCUCGUGUUGCAACCC
rnacentral:rRNA from 1 species